rnacentral:rRNA from 1 species
AUUGAACGCUGGCGGCAGGCCUAACACAUGCAAGUCGAACGAGUGGCGGACGGGUGAGUACUGUCUGGGAAACUGCCCGAUGGAGGGGGAUAAAUACUGGAAACGGUAGCUAAUACCGCAUACCAUCGGAUGUGCCCAGAUGGGAUUAGCUAGUAGGUGGGGUAAUGGCUCACCUAGGCGACGAUCCCUAGCUGGUCUGAGAGGAUGACCAGCCACACUGGAACUGAGACACGGUCCAGACUCCUACGGGAGGUCGCAGUGGGUAAUAGUGCACAAUGGGCGCAAGCCUGAUUCAGCCAUGCCGCGUGUACGCAGAAGGCCUGCGGGUUGUAAAGUACUUUCAGCGGGGAGGCGUUACACGCAGAAGAAGCACCGGCUAACUCCGUGCCAGCAGCCGCGGUAAUUC